rnacentral:piRNA from 1 species
UGGUGAUCCAGGUUGGUGUCUGUUUGAUGU